rnacentral:rRNA from 1 species
CGGGGAGCACCACAACGGUGGAGCCUGCGGUUUAAUUGGACUCAACGCCGGGCAGCUCACCGGAUAAGACAGCUGGAUGAUAGCCGGGCUGAAGACUCUGCUUGACUAGCUGAGAGGAGGUGCAUGGCCGUCGUCAGUUCGUACUGUGAAGCAUCCUGUUAAGUCAGGCAACGAGCGAGACCCACGCCAACAGUUGCCAGCUCGUCCUCCGGGAUGGAGGGGGACACUGUUGGGACCGCCUCUGCUAAAGAGGAGGAAGGGAAUGGGCAACGGUAGGUCAGCAUGCCCCGAAUUAUCUGGGCUACACGCGGGCUACAAUGGGUGGGACAAUGGGUAUCGACACCGAAAGGUGAAGGCAAUCUCCUAAACCCAUCCUUAGUUCGGAUUGUGGGCUGCAACUCGCCCACAUGAAGCUGGAAUCUGUAGUAAUCGUGUUUCAAAAUAGCACGGUGAAUAUGUCCCUGCUCCUU